GGGAAAGGAGGAGAACAAAGACACUCAGUUAUAAGCGCUGCGCUUCGCAGGGGAAUGAAAACCACGGCAUUAACGCCAGAGCGCCACAGGGAAACGGCGUUACCACAGACGGGGGAGAACAGACCGUUUACGCCUGCUUCACAGCCGCCUGACGACAACAUUCGGCCUCUCAAGUCUUCUCCUCGUACCCACGGAAUAGCAGCUUGUGGUGAAAUCUCAGUUACUCACUCACUGGCACAAAAAGGAAGUUCAACAAAAUAGGUCAAACAAAGUAGCCUUCUGAAACACAGCUGUGCCAAUGUGAGACCAUAGAACAUGACCUUUAAGUCUGGAAGGAAAAGGAACUAUUCCUGCUGACAAAAAUCAAAAGAUUAAGUGUUAGCAGUGUGCGCAAUACCAAAGAAUGAACACCAGGGGGCAAUAAGGAUACAGGCCUUUUUCUCCCCAGAAGAAAAAUGUGGUGGCAAAACAAAAACACAAACUUUAUUAACACCACUGCCAAUAAUUUCACCCAAAAGGAAAAAAAAAGAUUCACAGGUAAUCUCCAGAAUGUUCCACAACACAAGCAUCAAUUAUGACGAAUACUCUAGAGAGGACUGAAUCAGGAAUUGAAGAUAUACAGAACUGAACUAAAUCACCUCGGAUGCAGUAACAGAACAUGUUGGAACAGUUUUAAAAAGCUUUGUCCAAAUUCAAUAAAUCGAGUGUUAAUCGCCACAAUUGAUAAAAGUCUAAAAGAUACAGUGAUAUUUAGUCUUUUGGGUUACAGCUGACCCCAGAACAGAAGAAAAUCCUUCAUUUUUCUGAAUUAAAAUGAGAGAAAUUAA